rnacentral:lncRNA from 1 species
CCUCGAAGGGCCUCCAAUCUUAGAGAGGGGUUCUCAGCAGCUCACAUCUAUCCUGGGAACACUGAGGAGCAGUGGAAGAGAAUGAGGGCUCCCAGUAAGUAGUACUUCCUUCCGCAAAGACGAGAGAGCAAAGAGGAGCAUACUGGACGUGGAAGGGCCCGAAAGAGCGGCAUCGGGGGAGAUUGGGUCCCCAAGCCAAAGACCUAAAGGCUUUGAAGGCAGAGCUCAAGAGAAUCCCGGGAAGAAAUUGUCCCCAGUGUAGUGGCCUGCCUGUGACUCCUGGCCCCGCCCUAGUCUGAUAUUAUCUCGUCCUUUCCGGGUACCAGGAAUCAAACUCGGGACUUUAUUCUUGCCAGGCAGGUGCAGCACCACUGAGCUAAAUCCCCAGCCCACCACUGGAUUUUCUACAGACAAUCCUGUUGUCUGCCAAUAAAGUUUUACUUCUUGUUUUCCAAUAUGUAUUUUAUGUUUUUUGUGUUGUCCUGUAGUGGUUGGGACUUCCAGUAUAACACUGAAUAGAAAUGGUGAGAGUGAAUGUAUUAGUCUUGUUCUUGAUUUUAGGGGGGAAGUAUUUGGCCUUUUAGCCAUUAAGUAUAAUGUUAGCUGGAAUAGCUGGGCUUUUCUUCAUGGAUGCAUUCUUUCAAAAUAACAGUAUUUUCUUCUCCUUUGCUGAUAGCUUUUAUUGGGA